UGGUGUUAUGUAUCUAGUCACCGUUGGAAUGGGUAACCACAAAUCAGGCAACCGACCAAUGUUUAGGGCCAAACCAUAUAUUUUGAAAAGUCAAACGCACAACAACAGCAGUAUAAACCCACCCUAUCCCAGAAGAGAAAGGAGAUAGAUAGAUCCCGAAUACACAAGGGGUAUACGUUACAAUAUCAGAGGCAGCGAUUGAGGCUCUAAAAGUAUUAAGAGCCAGGAGGAUGCACGCACAUCCAUAUUGUGGCACCACCCCGUCUUGUCAUUGAGUACACCAAGGAUAAUUUUCCAUGGUUAUGAAAGUACUGUUAACACUAAAGACCCUUCGCUGAUGUUGAAGCUAAUUGGGUAAAGGUAACGGACACAGAAAGCCCAGCUGAGAGGGAUGUUCCACAGCUCCCCUGGCCAUUAUGCUGCUAAGGUAUUUACUUCAGUUAUCCCAGCUAACCUCAUCAGAGAGAUGCAGGGGAAGAAACCGGGCUGUCUAAUGUCUAAAAUGCUGGACAGAGGACUGCACAGCACUUCCAUGAAAGUUUCAUCAGCAAUUUUCAUGGACAAAACGGAUGUUCCUAUUCCAGGUACUGUACUCUGCAUGCCUCUCACUGCCUAGAUAAGUAAAUAAAAGAAUGGAGGCAACUUCUGCCUCUGCCAAAGUACAGGACACUGAUCUAGUACAAACGACACAAUGAGACUCCCAUACUCAUUUUUAAUGUAUUCUAGAACAUCAAUAAAAUAAUCCAUCACAAAUCAAUGCCUUUGUCUCACUAAAGUUGUGGGUGAGAUGGGUGCCAUUUUGAAAUGGUAGAAGACAGCGGUGAGGGGCAAUGUGCUGGGAAGCACAGCUCGUUCACUUUUUGCUGGAUCAGAUCCUGCUUCCAUCCACUCCUCUCCCCCAUGGCUCCAGCAUGGAACCAUACUGCCCCACAGCUCUGUUCCACCACAGCUGACCCCUGCUGUGCCUGAACCCAUAACCUUGACCUAUGGCCUCAUUCCCCCACAUGUGCUACCAGCUCUGCCUGUCCCAGUUCCACUAGUUGUAGCAUAAGCAUGAAUGUAUGGGUGCGUCUGCAGCAGGGGUGCAACAUCUGUGUGACUGUACAUGGUCUCCUGAUGUACAUUGUUAGGCUUUUUGUGUGUAGAUGUUCUAUUUUUAAUUAAGCUUUUCCAGAACAAUUAUUAUUCCAACAUAAGCUUGCAAUGCAGACGUACCCUUAUCAAGUCUGUUUAACUCCAGAAAAUUAGCCCUGGUGUGCCUCAAUGAUCUUAUAGCCGAACUGCAUUUUUUCACUCUGGCUACCCAAUUGAUUCUCAGUGGCAAACCAUUCACAUUGCAGCCAAUUCUAUCCUGUCAUCAACUUUCUCAAAAUUUCAUAGUUCUAACCCUAGAUUCCCCUCAACCCACAACUUUCAAUAGAUUUUAUCCUUAUCUCAGCUGUGUGAAUCUGGAGCUUGGAAAAGUACCCUCUCCCCCGCCAUGUUCUGUACUAUAGCUUGAUCUGUUUUAAAAUAAUUGUCAGACCUCAUUUAAAAUGUCAGGAUAGGCUGAAAAGCAUUUUUAUAUCAUAGUAUGAAUCAGUCCUAUACAUCUCAAGUUAGGAAAGUGAGAGGUCUCUCAGUCCAUGAAGUCUUUGUUAGCAUUGAGUGUAGCUCUUUUCCUAAGAAAACAUUUUUUAAUGGGCAUUCAUUGACCAUUGUCACAUUGGUUUGUCAACGGGCUUUGUGAACGAUUUACCUUUUCAAUUCAAGUAUCAUAUUUGGGAUGUGAUCAGUUGAGCACUGAGUACAAAUUGCAUUAAGCCUGUUCUCCUCCACCAAUUGCCACCCAGUCUGUCUCUUUAGAAUCCAAGGCUCCUGCUCUGCACCCAAGGGAUCUGACUGGAGACUGACCACAGAAGAUAAAACUAAUCCAGAUUAUUUAAAAGACCUCGACUAGCAAAGGAAUUGGCUGUCACAAACGAUGAGCCUGGCAGAUAGCACGGUGACAUAUUUUGAGGAAAAGAUUGCCCGGGUUUUGGCCUACCUAAGGAGUAACACAUACCCUGAAGGGAUGAAUAAAGCUGGGAGACAAAACCUGCGUCAAUUAGCUGCCAAAUUUUCUUUGGAAGGUUGAGUUGUCCAGGUUGCCAGAAAGUGUGCAAGGAGUCGGACCUGGAUCCUACAUUGAACAAUAUUAAGCUGAAUCUGGAAAUUUGCAAAUUAAUGAAAGUAGAAUGUAGUUUCACCAGCCCAUACCAACCGCAAACCAAUGGACUUGCCGAAAACACAAACAAAUCCCUGAAAAGGUAAUUUCUCAAGUUGAUAAUUCAUAACAUUGCUAACAAAUAAAAGACAUCUUGAAUUAAUCUACAAGAAGUGGUCUAUGCCCCUCACUAACUCAUGGUAACAUCAAAGUUUUUUCUUACUUUUUAUGGUGCUGCUGUAAUAAAACUUGUUUUUUUAAUUUUUUAGAUGUUAGUUCAUUGAAAAUCCACUUCUGUUAUUUCUAGAGCAAGUAACUGUACCAAUGUACUUGGAUUUCCUCUUUACACCUUUCAGAUUGCAUAAUAUGGUUUUCAGUGAACACACUUUAGCACUCCCCAAACCAACUCUAAUUAAUUUUUACAGAGCAUUAUGGAAGUUGGUAAAUGAUACUCAGAAUAACUGGAAUGAGUUUCUUCCUGAAAUUACAUAUUCAAUGAGAGCCAAACCAAAUAUGGCAACCAAGAUGUUUUCUCUGUUCAUAUUUUGAGAUUGUACAUACUCAAUAUGUCAUGACACAAGAUUGCAAUAUAGCUGAGUACCACUGAGCUGUUGGUGGGUGUACGGGAUCUUUAAUAACAGGACUGUAUUAAAAUUAAAAUGAAACUAAGAUCUCAUUUUUCAAAAUGGGAGCAGAGCAGCAGGGAAUCUAAAAUUACACAGUGAAGACUAAUUCUAUCAUCAAUCAACUUGCAGUCAGCACUGGGAUAUUAAGAGAAAUGACACUAUGAUUUGGUCAUUGGUGUUCGUGACAAAUGAGAAUUGAAAAAAUCUGAGUGAUAUGUUUACCAAAAUAAUUAUAAGGUUGUUUAAAUUUUCAAAUUGAAAAUAACAUCUGGAUGGAUGCAUGUUCACUUACCGAUAGCACUAAUGGAAACCCGUGAGUUGGUAAUAAUCAACCCAAUUGGUAAUGAAAUCCGUUAUGAGACACACCUCCUGAGGAACUGGAGGUGAUUUUUUUUUUUUAAACACUAACUUUGAUUGUUGACAUCUAUAGUGUUACUGUGCAGGUAUUUUUAGUAACAAGUCCGAAUGAGGAAUAGUAUGCUAUAAAAUGGAGAAUGAGGGUAUGUGUACACUGCUAUUGUGGGGCACCAGAAAAUCCAGGAAUAGCUAUCUUGCAUCUUCCAGAAAUCCCGUUAUUUUGGGGUCGCUAUUAUGACCUUUAUGUAAUCCUAACGCUACGAGGACUAAUAGACAUUUCUGAUUAUUGAUUUAUCUAGCAACUUGUAGUUGUGUAGACAAUGCAAAAUGAUGAGAGAAGCUAUUUCAGAAUAGAAUUUUAAAUAAGACACACAAUUUUCAUUGCUCAAAUUGAAUAUCUAAUUGCAAGUUAAGGUGCAGUGUAGACAUAACCCAAGAGUUGGUUUUGACUACUUUCCUGUUUCUGGAUCCCAGAAAGAUCAGAAAUAGCAACACUGUGCUGUAAAGGAUAACGCUAUUUCCUGAAUUAGCAAGUGCACUCUUCAGGCUACCCUUAAGCAAGGGUUAAGGGAUGUGCUGGAAUAUUGCCUUAUUUUGAAAUGUAACCUGUAUAUAGAGCAACACAUUUAAAAAUAAGCUCUUUCAAAUUAGACUCUGACUAAGGUACUGCACAUCCCUCAAAUUGCAGAUCUUUCCUCUUCCAACAAAGUGAAAAGACAACAACAAUGGGAAAUUGGCAAAUCAAAAUAUUAGAACACAACAGACAAACAGAUGUGUUCAAUUAUGGGCCACUAAUCCUGAAGGUAUUAAGUGUAAAAUUUCAACUUUCUUUAUGAAGUUCGUAAUAAUCCUAAGUUACUUUUUUAGAAUUGGAAGUAUAAUUAGUUCUAAUUGGAAGUAUAAUUAGUUUGCAGAAACAUAUUUGUAGUGGGAAGACAUCAGCAGUGUGCAGACAACACAAAAAGUGUUAUUUGCAAUAAGAAGAAAAAUUGCAAUUUUGUUAAUGAAAGAGUCAGGUAAGAGUAACUUUCUCUCACUCUUUGUGGUCCUUGAGAAUAUUGUAGUUGCAUUGGUUCACAGAAAAUAAUUCUGCAUUAAUUAUGUCUGGAAGUACUGUUAAAAAGGUUGGAUUGAAUGGUUGCCAUAGACACGGUAGUGAAAUGUCUUUGGAUAACAUUACAGACAACAUCAUUAAAUCAAACGGGCAGAAACGUAGUCUGGGGAUGAGAAAUGAAAUGCGAGCCAUAAGCCACACAUGCCCAAAAUUAAAGUUUAAAAAAAAAAAAGUUAAAUUUUUAAAAAGAAUUGAAGCUACAUAAUCAAGCAUGAUUUCUAUUUACAGUUUACAAAGUAAUCAUAGUUUGUACACCCUUUGUUUUCAUCACAGAAAGUGUAUUGCUUGUAUUGCAAUUCUGGGAUUGUAAAGGAAAAAAAGUUCAGAUGGAAGAAUGGUAAGAAACAGAGAAUGGGAUGUGUAAUUAAGCCAUGCAAAUCCACGGAUAUCAAUUUGAAUCUGUGGGUAAUCACAUCUGCGGAUGUUAAGAUAUGUGGUUCAUUCUUGUAUUAAAAUUACUAGACUGAUAGAGCAGUAGAACAGGAAGGGAGCUCAAAAGGUCAUGAAGUCCAGUCCCCUGACCUCACAGAAUGACCAGGCACCAUUUAGAUUAGAGGGAAACUUCAGAACUUCCUUUCAUGCUUAAAUUUGACACUUUACCAAUGUGC